GCUGACAGAAAAGGGGAAUCCAUCGGCAAGAAAGCAAGAGAGAGAAACCAACGCCGAAGGAGGCGUUUUCGCUCCGGAUCCUUCCUCUCGCAACCUCCUCUGUUCUUCCACUGCUUCACCUCUGGGACCAGCUAGGGUUUCGGUCUCAGUCCCCGGAUCAGCGGUGGUUUGCUUGGAGGUCCAGCUACGAGAAAUUCGAGGCCUCUGCGGCUCGUUUCGUGGAUUGGAUUGGGCUGACACUGUCGGUUUGGUGUUCCAAGGUUUGUUUCAGCAAGAAAAAUCACUUUUUGAUAGCAAAGAUUGGAUUUGUAGCCUUGAAAAUGGUCCGAAGUUUGAAAUUGGAGGUUUUGGUGGGUUUCGGAACGGCCGGGCGAAGAGAGCGGUGGUCGUCGCAGCGUUUUCGGCAAGCAGGUUCGCCCUUUCUCUGUGGGAAUUGGUCUCUAAUGCCGAGUUGGAGGGACUUUUGAGGAAAAGUUGAGCCAGAUAUUUUUUUUCUGUGAAGCUCUUAACACGAGGAAGUCCGGCUCUUUGGAUAGAAAUUCCUGUUCUGAAGAAGCAAGAUUUCGUUUUUGCGUUGAUUACUAUGCCAACAGUAGUCUAGAGGAGUGAAAAAUUGCUUAUUUAGUUUACCAGCAAGCGGAGAUGGAUGGUUUUUCACCUAUGGAUUGUGGUAACGGGAGUGCAGAGGAUCCAUUUAGUCUUUCAGCACUUAUGAACUUUGAUGGCUUUGGCGAACCUUUCAGUCCUUCAACUGCGGACCAGAUUCACUCUGCCUUGAGCUACUCAGCUGCUGCUCGUUUGACGCCUGGGAAUUGGUCUUCCACUGGAUCGCCUAACAUCUUCGCGGCGCUCGGAAGGGAUGCCUUGACUGGUGACGUCAACGUGCCAGCCGCCGCUUAUUCUAGCGACGGGGAGAAGGUGGCUUCCCCAAGGACUAGUAUGCAGUUUGUGUUCUCCCCGAAUUUUUUUGCUUCAGAUGACAUUCCCGAUGAGGGAGCCAGUUUUAUUCCCAAGCCCAUAGCAGGAUUUUCAUUUCCUGAGAGGAUGCUCAAAGCACUGUCCUUUUUUAAGGAUUUUUCAUCUGGUGGAAUUCUCGCUCAAGUUUGGAUGCCCAUCAAACAAGGUGAUCAGUACAUAUUAAGUACCUCCGAGCAGCCCUUUCUGCUGGACCAAAGUCUUGCUGGCUACCGUGAAAUUUCGAGGCAAUUUACAUUUUCAGCAAAGGAAGCACCAGGCUUGUUUCUUGGGCUUCCUGGACGAGUAUUCAUAUCCAGAAUGCCAGAGUGGACCUCAAACGUUGCAUAUUAUAGUAAGCUCGAGUACUUGAGGGUGGAUCAUGCGGUUAGUCAUGAAGUCCGUGGAUCACUUGCUGUGCCGGUUUUUGAUCGCUCUAAAGGUUCACGUUGUGCAGUACUUGAGCUUGUCACAACAAGGGAGAAACCCAAUUUUGAUACGGAGAUGGACAAAGUUUGCCAUGCCUUAGAGGCUGUAAACUUAAAGACAACAAAAGUCCGCGCUCAUCAACAGAACCUCACAAAAAAUCAGAAAUCCGCAUUCACAGAGAUACUGGAUGUUCUGAGAGCUGUUUGUCAUGCACACAUGUUACCUUUGGCACUUACAUGGAUUCCCUUUUCCUAUGAUUAUCAUAGUAUCGAUGAAUGCAUAAAAGAUGAUGUUCAAGAGGUACAGUCAAGUUUGAGGGAAAAAAGUAUGCUCUGCAUCCAGGAAUCAGCCUGUUACGUCAAUGAUACAAGAAUUCAGGGUUUUCUUCAUGCAUGUGCUGAACAUUGCCUUGAUAAAGGACAGGGAAUUGCUGGAAAAGCACUUCAAUCAAACCACCCCUUUUUCUCUCCUGAUGUAAAAGUUUAUGACAUACGCGAGUACCCACUGGCACAUCAUGCUCGUAAAUAUGAUUUGCGUGCUGCUGUUGCAAUCAGACUCAGGAGCACGUAUACUGGAAAUGAUGAUUACAUACUUGAGUUCUUUCUUCCAGUCAGUUGCAGAGGUAGUGAAGAACAACAGCUCUUAUUAAACAACCUCUCAAGUACCAUGCAGAGAAUUUGUAAGAGUUUGAGAACUGUCUCAGAUGCUGAAAUAAUCGGAGCUGAUGUAACCAAAGUAGGCAUUAGCAGGGGAAAAGGAAUAGGCUCCUCCUCAACUGAUUUCUCUGCUAAGUGCUCUCAACUAAUGGACAGUGAUAAUGAACUAACAACUGUGAAGCAUUCUGAAAAUCAAAAGAUGGAAUCUAAUGAGCAAGGAGGAGAUUCUUAUCAUGAGCAGUCAAAGUCUGGCUCAAUGAGACAUAUGGAAAAAAAGCGCAGUACGGCUGAGAAAAAUAUCAGCUUAAGUGUUCUUCAGCAAUACUUUUCUGGUAGUCUUAAGGAUGCUGCAAAAAGCAUUGGAGUUUGUCCAACGACACUGAAAAGGAUAUGCAGACAGCAUGGGAUUUCAAGGUGGCCAUCUCGCAAGAUUAACAAGGUCAACCGUUCACUGAAGAAGAUCCAAACAGUGAUUAACUCUGUGCAGGGAGUGGAGGGUGCAUUAAGAUAUGAUCCUGCUUCUGGGUGUCUUGUUGCUGCAGUCUCUUCACCUGAGAAACCAGCAAUGAUGAUGCCAGAGUCAUUUGGCCGAGAUUGUACGUGUCUGUCUUCUGCUCCUCAUGAUGAAACCGAACAAUCUAUUGGGAAAUCAGAACCAGACUUCUCUUCUCUUGAUGUUCACCAACAAGAGACUUCAGGCCAAUUAAAAUUUACUAAUAAGCCCAAAGGUGAAAAGGAUGAACUCCAUGCUCCCCUAGAUGGCUGCAGCAAUGACUGUAAGGUCACUUCUGCCUGUGGAGGACUAUUACAGCAGGCUAACAUUGAAGGUACACCAUCAUGGCCAAUAUAUUCCAAAGAUAUUCUCCGUAGUUCUUAUCUUACGAAAGAAACAGGCUGCCAACGUGCAUUUGGCAAGGGUGGCCUGAGUCUACAGAGCCUUGAGUGUCAGAUUAUGUCAAAGGGCUCAGGUUCUAUGAUGCCAAUGGAUGAAACGAAUGCUGAAAUAAAUGCUGAUGAUGGAAUCAUAGAACACAGCCAUCCUUCUUCUUCCAGCAUGACAGACUCUUCCAGUGGCAGUGCGUCAAGUUGCCCAACUUUCAAGAAAAGCUCAAAAAGUAUGGCAGAUGUUACUGAAAGUGGGCCAGUUAUCACAGUAAAGGCUACUUAUAAAGAUGACACCGUGAGGUUUAAGUUCCUACCAUCCAUGGGUUGCCACCAUUUGUUUGAGGAAGUUGGAAAGAGAUUCAAAUUGUUGGUUGGGACAUUCCAGCUCAAGUAUAUGGAUGAUGAGGAAGAGUGGGUGAUAUUGGCAGGUGACUCUGAUUUGCAGGAGUGUCUCGAUGUGUUGGAGGAUGUUGGAUCCCGUAGUGUAAAGCUUCAAGUUCGAGAUGUUCCUUGUGCCACUGGCAGCUCAGCAAGUAGUAAUUGCCUGCUAAUGGAGCCCUAAGGCCUCAAAGAGAUAGGAGCAUGCAUUUGGAUGAUGUCGCAUCAGUCAUUGAGUUUUGUUGGGUGGAUAUAUUUGGAUACUUGUCUAGAAGUAGGGAGUGCUUGUUGGGGGAUAUAUACUCCAAAGGAACAGGUAUACAUGUUGUAGAUGUAGGAAUAGAUAUUGUGGGUAUUGGUUGGCACUUGGCAGGAUAAUUAACAAGCUACUUGCUAUGUGUUGUAUGCAACUAGCACUUUCAGUAUCCUAUACACAGUUACCAAUGAAUGGGUGCAGGAGUGGGUCCGGUGUGGCUGUUGGGAAGUGGAUACUUUAGAAACAAUUUUUUAACAACUCUUAGUAGCUGGAGCGGGUUCAAAACUCCGAGGAGUGAAGCGAGUGCAUUUCAUAGGUAAAACAUUCCAGCUACUGAGGUUAGAUGUCCAUGAAUGCAAAAAUGAAUAAAUCAUUUUAAAAUCAGUUCAGAGACUUACUUUUGCCUGCCUUGCCAGAUUUUUUUAGUUAAAUCACAUUGAUAUUGGAGGCUGCUUAGUUUGAAUUCAAA